AUGGCUGGCAGGAUCCUAGUGAUGCGACCAGCAUCAUUAUCUGAUUUCACAAAGAGUUUGGAACAGAUGAAGGUGACUCUCCUCCAAAAUGAUGUGAAGUUACUCAUUGUUGAUAGCGUGGCUGCUUUCAUGUCAUCGGAGAACGAAAGAGGUACAACAGGUUUCACACAACACCCUCUAAGAUGGGCUCUUUCAUUUCUUAAGUCUAUAGCAGAGUUGACAAGAAUUCCAGUUGUAGUUUCAAACCAGGUCCGCAGCCAAAGUAAUGAUGAUGGUUAUCAUUACUCGUUUGAAGUAAAAAGGAUGGGUGAUGGCGAUGGUGCUGAAAGACUCGAAUCUCAUCUUGUUGCUGCUCUUGGAAUCCAGUGGGCUCAUGCUGUAACUAUCCGUCUAGUCUUCGAGUCUCACUCAGGUCAGAGGUUCAUCAAGGUGGCGAAAUCACCCAUGUCUCCAGCAGUAGCAUUUCCUUUCAUUGUGGAAUCAUCAGGCAUUACAUUACUAAAUGAUGAAGGCAUUGAUGUGUCAGGUCCUGAGAUAACCUCGAUUCGCUGUCAAGGGCAAAAUUUGUUGGGUCCGUUACCACUUGAAAACUGA
rnacentral:rRNA from 1 species